UACGUAGGGGGCGAGCGUUGUCCGGAAUCAUUGGGCGUAAAGAGCUCGUAGGCGGCUUGGCAAGUCGGAUGUGAAAACUCCAGGCUCAACCUGGAGCCGCCAUUCGAUACUGCUAUGGCUAGAGUCCGGUAGGGGAGUGUGGAAUUCCCGGUGUAGCGGUGAAAUGCGCAGAUAUCGGGAAGAACACCCGUGGCGAAGGCGGCUCUCUGGGACGGUACUGACGCUGAGACGCGAAAAGCGUGGGGGAGCGAACAGG
rnacentral:rRNA from 1 species